GUGGGGAAUUUUGCGCAAUGGGGGAAACCCUGACGCAGCGACGCCGCGUGGAGGAUGAAGGCCCUUGGGUCGUAAACUCCUGUCAGGUGGGAAGAAAAGCCUUCGGUAAACAGCCGAGGGUCUUGACUGUACCACCGGAGGAAGCCCCGGCUAACUCCGUGCCAGCAGCCGCGGUAAUACGGAGGGGGCAAGCGUUGUUCGGAAUCAUUGGGCGUAAAGGGCGCGUAGGCGGCCGAACAAGUCGGGUGUGAAAUCCCUCGGCUCAACCGAGGAACUGCACUCGAUACUGUUUGGCUAGAGUCCGGGAGGGGAUGGUGGAAUUCCCAGUGUAGCGGUGAAAUGCGUAGAUAUUGGGAAGAACACCGGUGGCGAAGGCGGCCAUCUGGACCGGCACUGACGCUGAGGCGCGAAAGCCAGGGGAGCGAAUGGGAUUAGAUACCCCAGUAGUCC
rnacentral:rRNA from 1 species